CCAUGGGAUGGGGAAGGGCCUGCUGAGUUUGGGCCAGCAUUUCAACAGUCACUGCCUUGAAGACAGAACCUUAGCUGGGAGGAGUCAGAGCAUUGCACAGCCCAAUCCCCUCGGGUCUAGACCAGAAUUAGUCUAACUCCCCAGAUUCCUCUUCUGCUAUUCCUAAGCCAACCCACAGGCCCGCCCAAAGGGGCACCCCCUUAGCCCUUUUUGUCCAUUGGGCAGUCAGAGUGUGCACCUCACUUUGGCCCUGACCCCUCAAGGGGCUCUUCAUCGAAACGACAGCUUGUCCAUGGCACCCUGCUGUCCUGUGUGCUCCAGGCCUGGGGAGUUACUUCCUGUUCCAAGUUACAACUAAGGCCAGAGACCUCAGAAGUUGGGAGUGGGAAACUCCCCUGAACUCACUCACCUCCAGCGCCCCUCCCAACAUGUGUCACCAAGGAGCAGGCACACAGGUCCCCAGGAGAACACCAGUCUCACCGUCACUCUCAUGGUCUGCACUCACAGUCCUUCUGGCGGGCCUCUUUCCUCCACGGUGGCCCCACUCCCUUUCCUUCCAAGUUCCUUUGGGAAACUCAUAGGCAAACAUCUUUCCAGAGGGGUGAGGAGGUGCCUGCCUGUCAUCCCAGAGACUGGGGAUUCUUAAACAGGAGGAUUGCAAGGCCAUCCUAGGCAAUUCAGCCAGACCCUUUCUCAAAUUAAAGAAAUUAAAACGGGCUGCAGGAGUAGCUCAGUGGCCGCCACUCCUGGGUGCAAUCCCCAGCACUGUAAAAGAAGACAGAAAGAAAACAUCUCUCAGAGGGGGAUGAGGGAGUCACCCCAGCUGCCUGGGGCCUGGACCCUUGCUCGGGCGUCAGGACCCCAUCUGUCCAGCAUCAGCUAGACCUCCCAGCGUUGGUGGAUGAGAUCAGCCAGGGCAAGGGAGGUGGCCCCGGGAAGAGACCGACAGGCGCUGGCGCCACCUGCUGGAGGGGGCCCGCGGACAGCCCCACCUUCUUCCCGAUGGGCGUGUCUAGCCCUGAGUAGCAGAAGGCCCUGGCCACGUGUCCUUUCAGAAGAGAAAGUAAUCCAUAUCUUUUGCUCACUCAUUCAUUCACAAGUAUUUACUCAGGGCCGUCUGUGUAUCCUCGUGGAACAAGUGAUGAAAGUUGCCAGGUGUGAUGCACACACCUGUAAUCCCAGCAACUAGGGAGGCUGAGACAGGAGGAUUGUGAUUUCAAGGCCAGCUUCAACAAUUUAGUGAGGCCCUAAGCAGUUUAGUGAG